UUGGAUGAGCUCCGCGGCCUAUCAGCUUGUUGGUGAGGUAAUGGCUCACCAAGGCGACGACGGGUAGCCGGCCUGAGAGGGCGACCGGCCACACUGGGACUGAGACACGGCCCAGACUCCUACGGGAGGCAGCAGUGGGGAAUAUUGCACAAUGGGCGAAAGCCUGAUGCAGCGACGCCGCGUGAGGGAUGACGGCCUUCGGGUUGUAAACCUCUUCAGCAGGGAAGAAGCGAAAGUGACGGUACCUGCAGAUGAGCCCCG
rnacentral:rRNA from 1 species